AUUGAACGCUGGCGGCAGGCCUAACACAUGCAAGUCGCACGAGUGGCGGACGGGUGAGUAAUGUCUGGGAAACUGCCUGAUGGAGGGGUAUAACUACUGGAAACGGUAGCUAAUACCGCAUACCAUCAGAUGUGCCCAGAUGGGAUUAGCUAGUUGGGGGGGUAACGGCUCACCAAGGCGACGAUCCCUAGCUGGUCUGAGAGGUUGACCAGCCACAUGGGAACUGAGACACGGUGAAGAAGACUACGGGAGGCAGCAGGGGGGAAUAUUGCACAAUGGGCGCAAGCCUGAUGCAGCUGGGCCGAGUGUAUGAAGAAGGCCUUCGGGUUGUAAAGUACUUUCAGCGGGGAGGCGUUACCCGCAGAAGAAGCACCGGCUAACUCCGUGCCAGCAGCCGCGGUAAUAC
rnacentral:rRNA from 1 species